UACAGAGGGUGCAAGCGUUGUUCGGAAUUACUGGGCGUAAAGCGCGUGUAGGCGGCGAUGUAAGUCGGGUGUGAAAUCCCUUGGCUUAACCAAGGAAGUGCACUCGAUACUGUGUCGCUUGAGUGCCGGAGGGGAUGGCGGAAUUCCCGGUGUAGAGGUGAAAUUCGUAGAUAUCGGGAGGAACACCUGUGGCGAAGGCGGCCAUCUGGACGGUGACUGACGCUGAGACGCGAAAGCGUGGGGAGCGAACAGG
rnacentral:rRNA from 1 species